rnacentral:rRNA from 1 species
AUUGAACGCUGGCGGCAGGCCUAACACAUGCAAGUCGAGCGAGCGGCGGACGGGUGAGUAAUGUAUGGGGACUGCCCGAUAGAGGGGGAUAACUACUGGAUACGGUGGCUAAUACCGCAUACUAUCGGAUAACCCAUAUGGGAUUAGCUAGUAGGUGGGGGAAAGGCUCACCUAGGCGACGAGCUGGAGCUGGUCUGAGAGGAUGAUCAGCCACACGGGGACUGAGACACGGCCCAGACUCCUACGGAGGCAGCAGUGGAGAAUAUUGCACAAUGGGCGCAAGCCUGAUGCAGCCAUGCCGCGAGUAUGAAGAGGGCAUGAGGGUUGUAAAGUACUUACAGCGGGGAGGCGUUACCCGCAGAAGAAGCACCGGCUAACUCCGUGCCAGCAGCCGCGGUAAUUC